rnacentral:rRNA from 1 species
ACUCCUACGGGAGGCAGCAGUGGGGAAUAUUGCACAAUGGGCGCAAGCCUGAUGCAGCCAUGCCGCGUGUAUGAAGAAGGCCUUCGGGUUGUAAAGUACUUUCAGCAGUGAGGAAGGCGGAGUCGUUAAUAGCGGCCUCGUUUGACGUUAGCUGCAGAAGAAGCACCGGCUAACUCCGUGCCAGCAGCCGCGGUAAUACGGAGGGUGCGAGCGUUAAUCGGAAUUACUGGGCGUAAAGCGCAUGCAGGUGGUUUGUUAAGUCAGAUGUGAAAGCCCGGGGCUCAACCUCGGAACUGCAUUUGAAACUGGCAGACUAGAGUACUGUAGAGGGGGGUAGAAUUUCAGGUGUAGCGGUGAAAUGCGUAGAGAUCUGAAGGAAUACCGGUGGCGAAGGCGGCCCCCUGGACAGAUACUGACACUCAGAUGCGAAAGCGUGGGGAGCAAACAGGAUUAGAUACCCUGGUAGCGUCGUC